AUGUUUAAUUUUACGCUUUGCUAUAAAAAUUCGUGCGAAUUGUUACUUCAGGCAUUUUUAUUACGGAUUCUUUGCUUUUUAUGUACCUAAUGACAAUUCAGUACGAGGACACUGAAAAAAUUUGCUUCCAAAAAAAAAAAAAACAGUUGUCAACUUUUUACGCAAAUUACAAUGUUGAAAAAUUCAAUUAAAUGAAAAUGAAAGGCAUGAGGACACCCAUUGAAACUUCCCCAAGCACGUGCGAGAAGACAAGGCGAGUAAGUCAGAAACAAUUCUAAACAGAAGUUAGCAACAGAAUUGAAGCUAAUAAACAAUAAUAACGGUAGGAGGAUACUCCAUGAGUUCGCGCAGUAGCUCAUUUGUACUGUGUAAUAAUGCAAAAAUAUGUGUGGGCGCAUGGCUGCCAAGUUAAUGAAAUUUAUUACCACAUAACUGAAUUUCAAGUGAGUGUUCUGAGGAGCUAGAAAUAUGAAAUAAGCCGGAAGACUACUUGAUUGUAAGCGCACUAGUAAACGUCCCGUUGAGGGCGGCAAAAAUGUACUGAAGCAAAAGAAAAAAAUAAAAAC